rnacentral:rRNA from 1 species
CCGAAAGGAGUGCUAAUACCGGAUGAGAUCAUUUCCCGCAUGGGAGAGUGAAGAAAGAUGGCCUCUACAUGUAAGCUAUCGCUAAAGGAUGGGCCUGCGUCUGAUUAGCGUAGUUGGUAGUCGUAACGGACUACCAAGGCGAUGAUCAGUAGCCGGUCUGAGAGGAUGAACGGCCCACAUUGGGACUGAGACACGGCCCAAACUCCUACGGGAGGCAGCAGUGGGGAAUCUUCCGCAAUGGACGAAAGUCUGACGGAGCAACGCCGCGUGAGUGAUGAAGGAUUUCGGGUUCUGUAAAACUCUGUUGUUUAUGACGAACGUGCAGUGUGUGAACAAUGCAUUGCAAUGACGGUAGUAAACGAGGAAGCCACGGCUAACUACGUGCCAGCCGCAGC